AACUAAACCUUAUUGUAGCGGCUAUCCUUUUUGGUGCAGCGCCAAACAACCAGCAAUAACAUCCACAAAAAGAUAGAAGCGGAAAGAAGGGCUACCC
rnacentral:sRNA from 1 species